rnacentral:lncRNA from 1 species
AGCCGGCAGCUGGAAGUUUGCUGGCAGCUGGAAGUUUUCUGGGGCCCCUUCGGCUGUGGCUCUCAACAAAUCACCACAUGUUCAUGAAAGGAGUAAUGCAGCAAUUUACGGAAAGCAAUCCCCUAUAUUCCGAUUUCCAAGUAAUUCUGGGUAAUUCUCACUAGGCCUUCAUUCCAGCAUCCCUGAAAUGGGGUUACAGUUAUCUCACGGGGCCGUUGUGAGGAGUUAAUGAGUAGGUUUAUAUCCCUAAAUGGGAGCUGGAUUCACUCUGGCCUCCCCCCAAAUCUGGGUAAAUGAAGAGACAGACUCUGAGCUCAGCUGCUAAAGGUGACCGGGAGGCAUCAAUUCAGCCGCCACAGUAUUCACGGGUCGAGAACAGCAUCUGCCUGCCAUCUGGGCUUUGCUACCAACUAGCCGGGUGACUUGGGGUCAGACUCCUCUCAGUUCCAAAUGUCUCCUUCUCUCCCAUGUGCUGGGAGAACAAGCUUGUGAUUUUAACCUUUGAAUAUGUUUACAUGCUUCUAUUCUGUUGGGGCAGAAAAACUUUCUUCUACCCUCUUAGGUUCAGUGCUUGAGAGCCUGCAAAUUAAAGGAACAAAAGAUAGAUUGGCAAGAGAAGAGAUACACCGUCUGCUAACAUUUCCACGCCCAGGAGUUCACAGAAAAGAAGCGAAACUCAAGAGGGAGUUGGGCUGCGGCCUUGUGUGCCUUUGAAUAAAGGAAAGAGAGCUGGCUUCAGGAGAUAAAAAACACAAGGAAAUGUGGAGAGCCGGAUGCGCCCUGCUCGGAGUCACUCCACGCUGGGCACGCAGCGGUUCUCAGCUGUGCUGAGCCCUGGGUCACUCCAUGUGACCGAGCAGCAGUUUGUCCAGAGCUACUCCAUCUUGAGAGCAAAGCACUAAGGAAGGACGCUGGUAACUUGUCUGGAUAAACAAACACCCACCAGAUGCUGGGUAUACAGGACUCAUUGAAAAGAACUGCCCCCCUGUGUACAGCACAGUCAUAAGAUAUGAACUGUUCAUAAGUUAAUUGAGCCAAUAAAGAGUGGCCACCUAUGGAUUUGUUGAAUUAAGUCAGAGGCACGCAGAUGCGUGAGCCUAUCAAACCCCUGUCACCAGGCCCCAGGGCUUCUCAGACCCACCAGGCCACCAAUGGACGCAGCCCCCUCACCAGAGCCCCCAGGACAGAGGGACGGCGCACACCGACCCCCAUAUAAGGGAUCACAAAGUGCACAGGGGACUAGCAGGACUCGGUCCUGGGCUACAAGCCAGCUGUGUUGCCCUGUUGACCUGGCCCUCCCCAAACUGCCUCUGUCCAGAGCCUGGCCUCGAGCCAGUCCUGAGCCCUGGGCAGCCCUGCGCCCUGAGCAAGGCCGUGUGCUGGCUCCUGAGCCCCGAGCACCUGCCGUGACCCUGCACUUUCAUCUGCCCUCAGCCUCUGCGUUCCCAGGGCUUGAGGGCCCGUGGCCUUAACCCUGCGUACAUAGUGGCACAAAGUGUGACACGUGACUCCAGCUGUUCAGGCCUCGUGAACGGAGACAGGAACGGAGUACAGGGACCCGGUGUGGCUCGCUGCUGAUGGCAUCUUGGUGACGAGAGUUGAUGGAGGUGAUGACGCUCGUCCGCUGACCGUUACUCGAUGAAUUCUGACAUUGCGGGAAGACACCGGCUGUCUGGUCCAUUAAUGGCAUGACCGGCUCAGCACGGGGAGUAACGGGUGACAGGGAAGCUGAGCCACCGGGACCAUGUCAGGAAGGCUUGUUUGUGUGGACUCGGCUCAGUGUCCCCUCCCGUCUUGGUGACAAGAGUUGCUCUUCUCUCCCGGGGAACAGGGAAGGUGGGGACCCCUUCCUCAAGGGGAAACAUAGGUCCUGUUUUUCAUCCCAUAAGGGCAGGUCCGAUGGCUCCGUCCGCAUUUGUUGAUUCUCAGUGGCCUUGGGUUCAAAAUGAUGCCACCCAGAGCUGGCACAUUUGGGGACAGCACAUUCUGCUCCCAGGGAUUCCGAGUGAAACCACAGCAGGGUGGCCAGCGUGUGAUGAGAGGAGGGUCCAGCCCAGGAGCCGUCGGGAUGAGCUUCUCCUCUCCCUCUGGAUGGGACCUGGAAGCCACACCCCAGAACUCUGGGAACCCCCUGGAAGACCCUCCGCUCCUCAUUCAUCCCACAAAUCCCUGCUGAGCACCCGGCAAGACCAGGGGCCUUUAUAGGCAAAGGGAUUAAUAAAGAGGAUGAUUUGGGGUACAGAGGCAGGCUGAGACAAGGAAACGGGGCGCACUGUCACAGGAGAGGAGGCGUCUCCAGAGGAGGUCCAAGGAGUUCCCGGGAGAAGGGGGGACUCCACGCAGGACCAAGGGGUUCCUGGACCGCAGCACGUGCCCGUCCGAAGCAGAGACAGAGUUCAUUUGGGGAAGGAGGGACACAUUCACAGGAGGGCACAGGCCAUCUUGAAGUGAGAGGUGCCAUUCUGGGGUCCCCAGCUCCUCUGUGAGAGGAGCCUUGGCGAGGCUGGGUACGAUGACACCAGUCCAGCGAUUUCUGGUGGCCUGGUCAGUCUCAGGUCCUCGGCCGACGUGGUCUUCAUCAUCUGAUCUGUAGAAAGCACUGGAAGGUCCGUAAAUUACAGUUUCCUCGAGAGAUCACGGCUCUUCUUGCUUUAUCUACUUAUUGGGGGCUUCAUUAACAGUGCACAGGAGAGGACAGGAUUCCAGGAAUUUGGGAUAAGGGCAGGUCAGAUGGCUCCAUCCGCAUUUGUUGAUUCUCAGGCCUAGAAGAGAGGGGGCAGCCGACCUGGAACUUGGGAAUUAAAACCACUUUUUUCUUGUUCUUUCUCAUCUUCUUUUUACCUAUUUCUCAUUCUUUCUGUCGGAUCUUGAUACAAUAAAGAGGAUCUUUGUUGGGUUCCCAGGAAGCAUUUAGGUUGACGUAGUUGAUGGGGAAGGAGGUCCCAAGGAGGCGGG